UCUUCCGCAAUGGACGAAAGUCUGACGGAGCAACGCCGCGUGAGUGAAGAAGGCCUUCGGGUCGUAAAACUCUGUUGCCGGGGAAGCACAAGUGCCGUUCGAACAGGGCGGCGCCUUGACGGUACCCGGCCAGAAAGCCACGGCUAACUACGUGCCCGCAGCCGCGGUAAUCCGUAGGUAGCCAGCGUUGUCCGGAAUUAUUGGGCGUAAAGCGCGCGCAGGCGGCUUCUUAAGUCUGAUGUGAAAUCUUGCGGCUCAACCGCAAGCGGUCAUGGGAAACUGGGAGGCUUGAGUGCAGAAGAGGAGAGUGGAAGUCAACGUGUAGCGGUGAAAUGCGUAGAGAUGUGGAGGAACACCAGUGGCGAAGGCGGCUCUCUGGUCUGUAACUGACGCUGAGGCGCGAAAGCGUGGGGAGCAAACAGGA
rnacentral:rRNA from 1 species